GCUUACAGCCUCUGAGGAGUGGAGCAAAUUAUAAGUAUGUAUCUCUGGCUCCGCUCACCAUCUCUGUAUCGAGUCUAGACAACACAAGAAGCAUUAUGGUCCCAUCUGCUGUUGGAUCAGGGAUCUCCAGACAGAUGAGAGACAACAGCAGCUGUGACUAGGAAAAGAAGUCAGACAACUGGACCCUCAGUCCUACAGUACCACAAAGUUGUGUGCACUGACACCUUCUUUUCAGUCCAUACACCAAUUAAUGUCUCUAAAAUGAGCUUGGAAAGAUCCUGUAGUUUGGAGAUGACACAAGUGUAGUUGGCCUCAAAACUUAUGGUGAUGAGUCCCAUAGUCAAGAGAGUGAAGCAGAGAAAGUUCCAACCGAAUGAUUCAGUUCUACACAGCGUUCAGGGAAACUAAUUUAUUUAAAUGUUUUAAAACAAAUAAAAGAGCUUGAGAACGUCCCUCUCUAUUAGAAUGAUGGAGAGAAAUGUCAUUGCCAUAUGUUCGUAACAACGUUCGAAUGAUUGCAUAGACAAAUUUAGCAACAAAUUAAUACACAUACAUGAA